UCCCUGGUGGUCCAGUGGUUAAGACUCUGUUCUCCUAAUGCAGGGGGCAUGGGUUCGAUCCCUGGUCAGGGAA